rnacentral:misc_RNA from 1 species
CCAUGAGUCCAGAGUCCAGUUUUGAUUGAGCAGUCACUCGGGAAGGAGUGUUCCGUUCGAUCUACAUAUUUUAAAAAAUUGCUUGACAAUCGGUAGCUACUGUAAGACCUAUAUCAUUGGAAAUUUCGUGAAUUCCGUAACUCGGAAAUUUUUCCACAAGCACUGGUCUUCCGUCUUGGAUUCGACGGCAGUUCGGCUUCGGCGACAGAAGCGGCGACAUCAGGAGCGACAUCAGUAGCAAAGCAGGUCCCUCAGAGCGACGAUGGAGAGAGAGAGAACGAUGACCAUUGCGCGAUGCAAGCAAAUCAGGACAUCAACGAGUCUCUCCAAAGAUCAACUCCUCUCCAUCCCGUUCCGGUAGAGAUGGAUCUGCAACACACGAGACGUAAAACUCCUUUUUUUGCGGAGGUAUGUUUCAUUUAAUUUAUUCCUUUCGAGAGUCCCUAGUACAAUCCAACGUUCAAAUUCUGAGUAUAUAAAUUGCAACCCCUUGGAAAAUAUUUUCAAAAUCCUCCUCAUAAAAUCAGAUCACCCAGC